AUGGACUACAAGCCAGCUAGGAAUUGCAGCCUUUGCGGGAAGAAGGCACCGCGGUGGAUCUCGUGGAGUAGGGCGAACCCUGGUAGGAGGUACUAUGCGUGUGUGGAUGAAAUUUGUUGGUGAAACAAAUAGCAUGGCUUCAUUGAUUGGCAUGACGGCCCGACGACGCCAUUUCUGCGUGGAUUGCUUGGAGAUCUUCGGGAUAAAGUAUGGAGGCUGGAGGAUUAUUUGGCGGCUCAGUCAAGGGAGGGACAAGAUGCUGGUUUGACAGAAGAAAUGAAGAAGAAUGAACUAGUUGCAGAAACUAGAGCAAGAUUUGACAAGAAAAAGGAGAUGGAAAUGUACAAGUUUCUGUUCUAUGGAAUGAUGUUUUUUGUUGUUGGUUUAGUUGUAGGGUUGCUGUUAAGUUAG
rnacentral:rRNA from 1 species